CUGUGCUAUGCAAAUGGAAGGGGUAACGGAUCUAACAGAUAAAAGUCUAACAGGUAAAAGGCUGAAUAACUUGUAAGAAGGAAAUUGCAGUUUUCAAGGAAGAAGCUUUAAGGGUUUGGAACUUCUCAAGUACUCACUAGUAGUUGUUCCCCAUUUACUUGUCCAGGUGCCAAAAUAUUCUCAGAAUAAAUUUGCACUGAAUUUAAGACAAGCCGACUGAAGACCUCUCCUGAGUCCCUUAUUUUCUCAAAUUCCACAAUUAUGAUGUUAUUAUCUAAGAUGGUGAAGGCCCCAACACUCAUCUUCCUGCAGUUUAUGAAGCAGUUAAUUUAUGUUCAGACUAUCAGACAAAUUGUCUUGGAGCCACUCCGCUUUCUCUUGGUUCACAUUCUGAAUGAUAAUAGACCUGGAAGACCUCUAAUUUGCUUUGUUGAUGUUGCUACACAGUCAGGAUUCAGCACACAACUAGGAUAUUUAAUUUUUACUCAGAUUUUUUUAUUCUUCAUCAACUCCAAUUUAGGCUUCCAUCUCACCUAAAUAUUUUAAUUCAUUUGUAAAAGCAAAUAAAAUAUUCUGUAAGUGUAAAAGAUGCAGACGAACUCUCUGUAUUAACUAAUUUAUAGGAGUCUCUCU
ensembl:lncRNA